rnacentral:lncRNA from 10 species
CUUUUCUUUAAAUACUCAUGUCACAUUUGUGCUGUUGCCAAUGCUUCUCAGACCCUCCAGAUGAGGACAUUUCCCUGAGGAGGUGGCUAUGAUGGUAGAACUUACAAGACUUCAGUGGACAUAAGUACAAGUAUCACACAAAGACAUUCUGGAGAAUGGCAGAAAAGUGAGCGAAGCCAGAAAAACAACACUUCAAAAGGUCUGUGGAGGAAGCAAGGAGGCUCUGCAAAGUAGUCUGCAGUGAAAGUGCAGAGAAAGCUGAAGAUGGGGCCCAGGACUUAAUCAUCAGAGCAGCAGAGCACCUAAAGUUAAACUUCCAGCCAUGCAGGCUUGAA